rnacentral:rRNA from 1 species
CGGGAUCUACCCAAACGUGGGGGAUAACGUAGGGAAACUUACGCUAAUACCGCAUACGUCCUACGGGAGAAAGCGGGGGACCGAAAGGCCUCGCGCGGUUGGACGAACCGAUGUGCGAUUAGCUAGUUGGUAGGGUAAUGGCCUACCAAGGCGACGAUCGCUAGCUGGUCUGAGAGGAUGAUCAGCCACACUGGAGCUGAGACACGGUCCAGACUCCUACGGGAGGCAGCAGUGGGGAAUAUUGGACAAUGGGCGCAAGCCUGAUCCAGCAAUGCCGCGUGUGUGAAGAAGGCCUUCGGGUUGUAAAGCACUUUUAUCAGGAGCGAAAUACUACUGGCUAAUAACCGGUGGGGCUGACGGUACCUGAGGAAUAAGCACCGGCUAACUUCGUGCCAGCAGCCGCGGUAAUACGAAGGGUGCAAGCGUUAAUCGGAAUUACUGGGCGUAAAGCGUGCGUAGGCGGUGAGUUAAGUCUGUCGUGAAAUCCCCGGGCUCAACCUGGGAAUGGCGAUGGAUACUGGCUCGCUAGAGUGUGAUAGAGGAUGGUGGAAUUCCCGGU